rnacentral:tRNA from 2 species
ACGGCCAUAGGUUAAUCUGGUAGACCGUUCGUCUUCCAAACGAUGUGUGCCGAUUCAAGUUCGGCUGGCCGUA